GAAUAGCCUUUCGAAAGAAAGAUUAAUACCGGAUAGCAUACGAAUAUCGCAUGAUAUUUUUAUUAAAGAAUUUCGGUUAUCGAUGGGGAUGCGUUCCAUUAGUUUGUUGGCGGGGUAACGGCCCACCAAGACUACGAUGGAUAGGGGUUCUGAGAGGAAGGUCCCCCACAUUGGAACUGAGACACGGUCCAAACUCCUACGGGAGGCAGCAGUGAGGAAUAUUGGUCAAUGGGCGAGAGCCUGAACCAGCCAAGUAGCGUGAAGGAUGAAGGCUCUAUGGGUCGUAAACUUCUUUUAUAUGGGAAUAAAGUAUUCCACGUGUGGAAUUUUGUAUGUACCAUAUGAAUAAGGAUCGGCUAACUCCGUGCCAGCAGCCGCGGUAAUACGGAGGAUCCGAGCGUUAUCCGGAUUUAUUGGGUUUAAAGGGAGCGUAGGUGGAUUGUUAAGUCAGUUGUGAAAGUUUGCGGCUCAACCGUAAAAUUGCAGUUGAAACUGGGAGUCUUGAGUACAGUAGAGGUGGGCGGAAUUCGUGGUGUAGCGGUGAAAUGCUUAGAUAUCACGAAGAACUCCGAUUGCGAAGGCAGCUCACUAGACUGUUACUGACACUGAUGCUCGAAAGUGUGGGUAUCAAACAGGAUUAGAUACCCUGGUAGUCCACACAGUAAACGAUGAAUACUCGCUGUUUGCGAUAUACAGUAAGCGGCCAAG
rnacentral:rRNA from 1 species